GAGAGUUAAACAGUACGUGAAAUUGUUGAAAGGGAAACGAUUGAAGUCAGUCAUACCAACGGGAAAUCAACCUUUUGAGCUUGGUCUCGUGGGUUUUGAAGAGUUUCAAAGCCUUCGGACUCGCGGGAUUGGGAUCUCUCGGUGUACUUUCUCGUACGGUUAGUCAACAUCGGUUUUGAAUGUCAUAAAAUGACUGGAGGAAUGUAGCUUCGAUCUCGUAUUGAAGUGUUAUAGCCUUUGGUAGAUGUGAUGUUUGAGACCGAGGAUUGCAACGGAUACCCUUCAGGGCUAUUCGUCUGAUCUCUGAUACGUUGCCUUGAUGUUGAAAGCUUGCUUAUGAUGUUAGGGUAUUACGGUCAAAAGGUUAGAACGAAUUACAUUCGUUAAGGAUGUUGACGUAAUGACUUUAAACGA
rnacentral:rRNA from 1 species